rnacentral:misc_RNA from 1 species
GAUGAAGAACGCAGCGAAAUGCGAUAAGUAAUGCGAAUUGCAGAAUUCCAGUGAGUCAUCGAAUCUUUGAACGCACAUUGCGCCCUUUGGUAUUCCGAAGGGCAUGCCUGUUCGAGCGUCAUUAUCACCCCUCAAGCCCUCGGCUUGGUGUUGGACGGUUUGGUGGAGGCCCCCUCGGGGGCUCCUGCCCCUCCCAAAGACAAUGACGGCGGCCUCGUUGGACCCCCGGUACACUGAGUUCUUCACGGGACACGUAUCGGACACAUGGGUUUACGGGACACGGUCUGCCUCCCCUCAGGGAGAAUCUUUCUAAGGUUGACCUCGGAUCAGGUAGGGAUACCCGCUGAACUUAAGAAUAUCAAUAAGCGGAGGA